AGAUUUGCUAAUGCAGUGCGUUUUCUUUGCUCGUUCAGUGCAGUCGCGUCAUGUGCCGUAACGUGUGCAUGCGUGCGUGUGUGUGUAAAAUGAGUUGGAAAUUGGAAAAGUUACAAAGUACCGCAACAAUGGCAACUGCAAUUUGUGUAAAAGUGUCGCGCAACAUUAUGAGUCCUGUGUAAUUUUCUGCACUUGGCCACAAGAGCCGUUUGCUUGCGUUAGUUUUCUUAUAUUUUUGGGGUGCUCAAAGAAAUAGCACAAGACGCAAAGUCAAACGAUUACAAAAACAACGGCAAAUCUAGCAAACAAGUUCUGCUGCUAACACAUACCAACGUAUGUCUCAAGAACUGAAAACUAAGAAAAGAAUCCAAUUUGAAUGAAGAAGAAAACAACAUUAAACUAAAACAGAAGAAAUGCGAGACAAGAACUAAGUAAAAGUUGAAGACUUUGAACAAAACAAAUGCGAAAAGCAGCUUAAAGCAAUAGGAAAAAAAAUAGAGCGCAAAGUGAA